rnacentral:rRNA from 1 species
UACGGAGGGUGCAAGCGUUGUCCGGAUUUAUUGGGUUUAAAGGGUGCGUAGGCGGCCUUUUAAGUCAGCGGUGAAAGCCCGGGGCUCAACCCCGGAACCGCCGUUGAUACUGGAAGGCUUGAGUAUGGACGAGGUUGGCGGAAUUGAGGGUGUAGCGGUGAAAUGCUUAGAUACCCUCAAGAACACCGAUUGCGUAGGCAGCUAACUAGGCCAUAACUGACGCUGAGGCACGAAAGCGUGGGGAGCGAACAGG